ACCACCACAUCCAUCGCUGGCCAUCACUUCCGCCGCCGGUUCCAGCGCCAAUCACUUCUUCCGAUGCCGAUCUUUCUUUUUUUCCUUUCUCCCUUUCUCCCUCAUCCUCUCCUGCCAUCCUCUCCCUUUGUCCGAUUUUGAUCCUCUCUCUCUCUUUUUUUUUUCUCCCUCUCCUUCUCCCCCACCAUCCUUCCCUUUCCUAGAGACCAGAUCGCAUCGAGGGAAGGUGAGGGUGGCGGGGGAAGGAGAGAAGGAAAAUUGC
rnacentral:lncRNA from 1 species